rnacentral:rRNA from 1 species
AGGAGGCAGCAGUGGGGAAUAUUCCGCAAUGGGAGAAAUCCUGACGGAGCGACGCCGCGUGGAUGACGAAGGCCGAAAGGUUGUAAAAUCCUUUUAUACGGGAAGAAUAAGGCGAGGAGUGGAAAGCUUCGUCGAUGACGGUACCGUAUGAAUAAGCCCCGGCUAACUACGUGCCAGCAGCCGCGGUAAUACGUAGGGGGCAAGCGUUGUUCGGAUUCAUUGGGCGUAAAGGGCAUGUAGGCGGCUGGAUAAGUGUGGAUUUAAAGACCGAGGCUUAACCUCGUGUAUGGUCUGCAAACUGUCCGGCUAGAGUGCGGUAUGGGAAACUGGAAUUCCACGUGUAGGGGUGAAAUCUGUAGAGAUGUGGAGGAAUACCUGUGGCGAAAGCGAGUUUCUGAUCUGCAACUGACGCUGAGAUGCGAAAGUGUGGGGAGCGAACAGGAUUAGAUACCCCGGUAGU